rnacentral:tRNA from 1 species
UGCCUUGUUGUGUAAUGGUAGCACAGCAGAUUCUGGUUCUGUUUGUAUGGGUUCGAAUCCUAUCAAGGCAA